ACUGUCUCUGUGGAGAUCUGCACCUUACGGGUCCCUUGCUUCCCCUCAGCACCCCUUCGUGGCAGAGGUGACAGAGAAGCGGCCCCUGCGGGAGCUGAUCGCAGAGGCCAGGGCAGAGGUGAUGGAAGAGGUAGAAGAGGAGGAGGAGGAAGGACAUGUCUCAUCACCACACCAUGACCACAAAGGCUCCUUCUACAAGGCCUCCACCAGCAGCCACCGCGAGCAGGAAACACCGCCCCAGGCCAGUCAGAGCCUGGUUGGGAGGGAAGUGCAAUCAGGAGCAGGCAUGGAGAUGGACAUGAUGGCUCAGCCAGCCAGCCAGCCUCUUCUGCCAGCAGAGGAGAGCAAACGGGAAGAGCAAACGGGGUCGCCAAAGAAUCAGAUGGGGAGCCCGCUCCCUGCUGGCCAGCCUGAGCUCCAAGGACCUGGGGUCAACACCAGUGUCCAGGGGGACUCCGUCCCCUAUGGUCCCCAGAUGAGGGCAAAAAAACCAUCCGACUUCCUGAAACAAAUGAGGCGAAAGUCCGCGCCCAUGUUUGCAGCUUCCCGGGAGCUGCGCGGCUCCAUGAGGCUCCCCUCCCGGAGGCCCUCCGACGUCCUGAAGCUGAUGAGACGCAGGUCGUUCUUUGGUGGAUUGAAGUCACAAGAAAAUGCCAGGGAACAAGGUGGGAUCAAUGGAGAGCCAGUGGCGCAAACAGCCAGUGGGAAAGAUCACGGCGAGGAGCAGUUACCUUCAUGUCCUGAGCCUCAGCCGUGUGUGGGGCUGCCAGGCACGCUGGAGGAGACAGCGCCAGAUCCCUUCCGAGCAGCAGCACUCGAACCAGAAGCAGAGAACGACUUUAAAGGGAACCAUGAAAAGGAGACCAGCCCUCUAGAGAGCCCAGCCCAAGCAAGAGAACUUUGUACUGGGCCAAAUCAUUUAGCACCAUCUAAAGAUCCAACGGAAGGGCAAGAGGUGGAAACAGAAGAAGUAGAAACUGCUGAUGAUCAGGCCAAGCCUGUAUUGGAAGAAACUCAGGCAGGUUUUGAACUCCCUGAUUCAAACAUAACAGACAGAGUUCCCUCCACAGAAGCAGAAAGUCAACAGGCAGCUGUAGGCCUGGAGGACAGAACCCAGACAUGCCCCACUUUGCUCUCAGUGAGUAACAUGGCAAACCUAUCAAAUAGCGAUUCUACCAGUAAUUUAUUGGCUCUGCAGGAAUGCACAGGAGCAACUAAGUGGGACUUGUCUGAAGGCUCAGCUGGGAUGGGAGAAGGGCAGACCGUGGAUGAGACUCCUCCCUCCAGUUCCAGGAAAUGGAGGAUUCAGGGUGAAAGGACAGAGGAAAUACGAAGUCUAGCAAAGAAACAUUACCUGGAUUGUGCAUCUGUGAGCAGCCCUCUUGCAAACCUGGACGUGAGCGAGGGUACACGACUAUUAGCAGCUCUAGAUCUUUGUCAGACUAGUACUAAAGUUCUGAGCAUCAAAGAAUCCUUGAGACAGCUCCAGCCCAAAGGUGCUGGAGUGUGUCUAGGUAAGGAAGUGAGAGGGGUUAGAUUACAGACUGAAAAUUACUCAAAUGCAGCAGGAGCACAAGAAGGUGGAAGCCCAGAGACUUCUGGGGAGCUAGCAGAGCAGAUACACUGUGAAACUGAGAAUGAAAGACUCCCCAAGGAAUUAGAGCAGAGUGGUGAGAAUUGGCAGCAGGCAGAAACCUUCUCAGUAAAGAAUGAAGCCGAAGGAGACAUGGAGAACGCAGAUGAAAACACAAAGGUGGCAUCAGCAACCCUAGAAGAGCUGUGUUGUAUGGGACAGAUUGCAGUGACUGAGAAUGGAGAGAACAAUACAGCGGUCGCUAGCUCUGCUAAGGAGACAGUGGUUCCAGCCAACGAGGAAACAGGGAAGAAUGAGGAAGAAACUAUAGACAACAAUAUAAGGGGUCAUUUAAAUGAAGAUCAACAUUCAGGAGUGGACACCUCCCCCAAGGAGAUAAUGGGGCCAGCGCAUGAGGAGUCAGAAGGAGAUAUUGUAAACAAGGUUGUAGAGGAGCAUUUAAAGGGAGACCAAAAUUCAGUGGUGGACAUAUCCAGUCAGGAGAUACUGGUACCAGCAAGAGAGGAAGCCCAGGAAGGCAGCAUAGAAAAUAUAACACUUGGUCAUUUAAAUUUAGAGGAUCAAAACCCAGUGGUGGAUACCUCCCCCAAGGAGAACCUAGUGCCAGCUAAGGCACACACAGGGGAGAAAGUGGAAGACACUGCAGACAGCCCUAGGGGUGACCCGUUAAAUGUUGUUGAGGACAAAGACCAUGAAGCUAGGGGAGAUGGAAAUGGUAGAGAAACAGAGAAGGAAGAGAGACACCCACCCAGAGAAGGUCUGGCAGAGGCGGUUCUGUGUCCAGAAGGGGCCUUGGGGGAUGGAGCUGGAAGAGAAGAGAGAAGUGCCCCCCUGGGGAGCGAAGCAGGGCUAGAGCCCCAGGGGGAACCUAUUGAGCACCCAAAGUUAAGGAAGAGCGUGAGCUUUGCUGAGGCACCCCUGGGAUGCCCCGCCUCCCUGAAACAGGCAGCUAAUGGAGGAGCAAUGAGAGAUGGAAAAGAUCCCAGUGGUGAGGGAGAUUCGACCUUAAACGAUGGUUUAAUACACAACCGAGAAGAGACGCUGACUUCACCAGGCAAUACAGAGUCUGACACGGACCUCCACCUUCCUUCGGCAAG
ensembl:lncRNA